rnacentral:rRNA from 1 species
UACAGAGGUCUCAAGCGUUGUUCGGAUUCAUUGGGCGUAAAGGGUGCGUAGGCGGCGCGGUAAGUCGGGGUGUGAAAUCUCGGAGCUUAACUCCGAAACUGCAUUCGAUACUGCCGUGCUUGAGAACUGGAGAGGAGACUGGAAUUUACGGUGUAGCGGUGAAAUGCGUAGAUAUCGUAAGGAAGACCAGUGGCGAAGGCGGGUCUCUGGACAGUUCCUGACGCUGAGGCACGAAGGUCAGGGGAGCAAACGGG